AGAGUUUGAUCCUGGCUCAGAACGAACGCUGGCGGCGUGCUUAACACAUGCAAGUCGAACGCGAAAGGGACUUCGGUCCUGAGUAAAGUGGCGCACGGGUGAGUAACGCGUAGAUAACCUGUCUUUGUGUCUGGAAUAAUACUUCGAAAGGGGUACUAAUACCGGAUAACCUUGCUUUUCACAAGUUAUGCAAGCAAAGGUGGCCUCUGAUACAAGCUACUGCAUGAAGAGGGGUCUGCGUACCAUUAGCUAGUAGGUGGGGUAAUGGCCUACCUAGGCGACGAUGGUUAGCGGGUCUGAGAGGAUGAUCCGCCACACUGGCACUGGAACACGGGCCAGACUCCUACGGGAGGCAGCAGUGAGGAGUAUUGCGCAAUGGGGGCAACCCUGACGCAGCGACGCCGCGUGAGUGAGGAAGGCCUUCGGGUCGUAAAGCUCUGUCAAGAGGAAAGAAGUGCAUAAUGGUUAAUACCUGUUAUGUUUGACGGUACCUCUAAAGGAAGCACCGGCUAACUCCGUGCCAGCAGCCGCGGUAAUACGGAGGGUGCAAGCGUUGUUCGGAAUCACUGGGCGUAAAGGGCGCGCAGGCGGUAUGGUAAGUCAGAUGUGAAAGCCCACGGCUUAACCGUGGAAGGGCAUUUGAAACUGCCAGACUUGAGUACCAGAGGGGAAAGUGGAAUUCCCGGUGUAGAGGUGAAAUUCGUAGAUAUCGGGAGGAAUACCGGUGGCGAAGGCGACUUUCUGGCUGAGUACUGACGCUGAGGCGCGAAAGCGUGGGGAGCAAACAGGAUUAGAUACCCUGGUAGUCCAUGCCGUAAACGAUGUCAACUAGAUGCAGGGGGUGUUGAUCCCCUCUGUGUCGCAGCUAACGCAUUAAGUUGACCGCCUGGGGAGUACGGUCGCAAGAUUAAAACUCAAAGGAAUUGACGG
rnacentral:rRNA from 1 species